UGAACGCUGGCGGCGUGCCUAAUACAUGCAAGUCGAGCGAACGGACGAGAAGCUUGCUUCUCUGAUGUUAGCGGCGGACGGGUGAGUAACACGUGGAUAACCUACCUAUAAGACUGGGAUAACUUCGGGAAACCGGAGCUAAUACCGGAUAAUAUUUUGAACCGCAUGGUUCAAAAGUGAAGGACGGUCUUGCUGUCACUUAUAGAUGGAUCCGCGCUGCAUUAGCUAGUUGGUAAGGUAACGGCUUACCAAGGCAACGAUGCAUAGCCGACCUGAGAGGGUGAACGGCCACACUGGAACUGAGACACGGUCCAGACUCCUACGGGAGGCAGCAGUAGGGAAUCUUCCGCAAUGGGCGAAAGCCUGACGGAGCAACGCCGCGUGAGUGAUGAAGGUCUUCGGAUCGUAAAACUCUGUUAUUAGGGAAGAACAUAUGUGUAAGUAACUGUGCACAUCUUGACGGUACCUAAUCAGAAAGCCACGGCUAACUACGUG
rnacentral:rRNA from 1 species